rnacentral:rRNA from 1 species
GACGAACCGAGCGAACGUUGUUCGGAAUCACUGGGCUUAAAGGGCGCGUAGGCGGGCUGCCGCGUCCGGGGUGAAAUCCUCCCGCUCAACGGGAGAACGGCCUCGGAUACGGGCGGCCUCGAGGGGGGUAGGGGCAUCUGGAACUGUGGGUGGAGCGGUGAAAUGCGUUGAUAUCCACAGGAACUCCGGUGGCGAAGGCGAGGUGCUGGACCCCAUCUGACGCUGAGGCGCGAAAGCCAGGGGAGCGAACGGG